GAUGAACGCUGGCGGCGUGCCUAAUACAUGCAAGUCGAGCGAACAGACGAGGAGCUUGCUCCUCUGACGUUAGCGGCGGACGGGUGAGUAACACGUGGAUAACCUACCUAUAAGACUGGGAUAACUUCGGGAAACCGGAGCUAAUACCUGAUAAUAUAUUGAACCGCAUGGUUCAAUAGUGAAAGACGGUUUUGCUGUCACUUAUAGAUGUAUCCGCGCCGCAUUAGCUAGUUGGUAAGGUAACGGCUUACCAAGGCGACGAUGCGUAGCCGACCUGAGAGGGUGAUCGGCCACACUGGAACUGAGACACGGUCCAGGCUCCUACGGGAGGCAGCAGUAGGGAAUCUUGCGCAAUGGGGGAAAGCCUGACGGAGCAACGCCGCGUGAGUGAUGAAGGUCUUGGGAUCGUAAACCUCUGUUAUUAGGGAAAAACAAAUGUGUAAGUAAAUAUGCACGUCUUGACGGUACCUAAUCAGAAAGCCACGGCUAACUACGUG
rnacentral:rRNA from 1 species